rnacentral:miRNA from 10 species
UAUUAGGUUGAUGCAAAAGUAAUUGGGGUUUUUGUCAUUAAAAGUAAUGGCAAAAAUUGCAAUUACUUUUGUACCAACCUACAAUAG